rnacentral:tRNA from 1 species
GGCUCCGUAGCUCAGCAGGAUAGAGCAGCGGUUUCCUAAACCGAAGGUCACAGGUUCGAGUCCUGUCGGGGCCACCA